GAUGAACGCUAGCGGCAGGCCUAACACAUGCAAGUCGAGGGAGAGGUUACCUUCGGGUAACUAAAACCGGCGCACGGGUGCGUAACGCGUAUACAAUCUGCCUUUCACAUAGGGAUAGCCCGAAGAAAUUUGGAUUAAUACCUAAUGGUAUAUAAGAGCGGCAUCGUUUUUAUAUUAAAGCUACGGUGGUGAAAGAUGAGUAUGCGUUCUAUUAGCUAGUUGGAGAGGUAACGGCUCCCCAAGGCGACGAUAGAUAGGGGUUCUGAGAGGGAUGUCCCCCACACUGGUACUGAGAUACGGACCAGACUCCUACGGGAGGCAGCAGUGAGGAAUAUUGGACAAUGGUCGGAAGACUGAUCCAGCCAUGCCGCGUGCAGGAUGAAGGUCCUAUGGAUUGUAAACUGCUUUUGUAAGGGAAGAAUAAGGAGUACGUGUACUUUGAUGACGGUACCUUACGAAUAAGCAUCGGCUAACUCCGUG
rnacentral:rRNA from 1 species